CUCCUCCUGUGAUGACUUGCACUGGGCUCUGAUUGUGCGUGGAGACUGUUGUGCAGCUUUGGCCCUGACAAGCCAGAGUUUCUGAGGAGAUG